ACACACAAACGCACCAGUAAGACAAAUAAACAGUCGCUCCAUGAGCAGGUAAUGCAUGGUUUAACAGGGGAAAGGCUUUUAAGAGGCUGCUGAAGUCAGCUCAAUAUGGAAUACACCAUUUCAGGCAGACUCCAAUCAAGUUGCAGAAACAUCUCAAGGACGAUCAAUGGAAACAGGAUUCACCUGAGCUCAAUUUCGAGUCUCAUAGCAAAGGGCCUGAAAGGGCCUGAACACAGCAGACGACUUUGUUCCACCUGGCCAUGGAGAUGUCAACAACUACUGUAGUUCCAGUACCUGUUCCUGCAAGCUGAAUUGAAAUUAUUAUAAUUAUUUGGGGCCUUAUUUCUGCCAUAUUCUGUGUUAUAUAUUGUCAGUUUCUUUAUAAAAAUGGUUUGUUUACUGUUCAUAAUCACACUGAAAUGUAAACUAUUUUGGCUCCAAUUUAAAUAUAUUUAUACAUCGUUGUUCAGUAUAAUAAUUUGUUCUAGUAAUGAUGACUUAAUGCAAACAACACCAGCAGUUGCUGUUAAAAGUAUUUUUUAAGAUAGUGACAAUCUCAUUUGAAACAAUUAAACUUCAUUGUUGGAGCUCAAUGGAAUUAGAAUAAAACAGAAUGGAGUGGAAGUGU